rnacentral:rRNA from 1 species
UACGGGGGGAGCAAGCGUUGUUCGGAUUUACUGGGCGUAAAGGGCGCGUAGGCGGCCACCGCAAGUCGACUGUGAAAUCUCCGGGCUUAACCCGGAAAGGUCAGCCGAUACUGCGGGGCUAGAGUGCAGAAGGGGCAACUGGAAUUCUCGGUGUAGCGGUGAAAUGCGUAGAUAUCGAGAGGAACACCUGCGGCGAAGGCGGCUUUCUGGACCAAUACUGACGCUGAGACACGAAAGCGUGGGUAGCAAACAGG